GACGAACGCUGGCGGCGUGCUUAACACAUGCAAGUCGAGGGGUAAGGCCCUUCGUGGUACACAAGCGGAGAACGGGUGAGUAACACGUGGGUGACCUGCUCUCCACUCUGGGCUAAGCCCGGGAAACCGGGUCUAAUACCGGAUAUGACCUCCGCAUGCAUGUGCGGCGGGGGAACGUUCUGGCGGAGGGGGAUGGGCCCGCGGGCGAUGAGCUAGGUGGUGUGGUGAGGGCCUACAAGGGCGACGACAGAUAGGCGGCCUGAGAAGGCGAGCGGACACUUUGGGAGUGAGACACGGCACAGAUUCCUACGGGAGGCAGCGGUGGGGUAUCUGGCGCGAUGCGCGGAAGCUUGACGCAGAAACGGCGCGUGGGAGAUGGCGGACUUGGGGGUGUAACCAUCUUUCGCGAUCGAUGAAGCGCCUAAUUCUGGUACGGGUGACGGUAGGUCGAGAAUAAGCACCGGCUAACUACGUG
rnacentral:rRNA from 1 species